AUACAGUGUUCAAUCAAUUAACGUUGAAAGCAUAAAAAACAUAAAAUACAUUUCAAGCAAAAUGGUUUGCAAGUGUUGUGGAAAUAACUCCCAGUGCCAGUGCCAAACGGCAAGCAGAUGUUGCAACAACUGCUGCUGCUGCUGCCAGUGUGAGUGCAAAAAUAGUUCCAAGGACAAAUGCUGUGCCAACAAGAAUUAAUUACAUGAUUGUGAAAUGAACCAAGCGGCUCAGCAUUAAUGAGCCAAUAUUUAAAUUACAUAUGUAUGCAGUAUAUCCAAUUAUGUGCAAUAAAAUGUAAAACAGCAAAAUA